rnacentral:lncRNA from 1 species
AACAUAUGUGGGGUGAGGUGUAUGAGCCUCUGGUCGAUGAUCAAUGGCCACACAACCCCCAUUUUUGUCGAAAAUAGCCAUGAAUGACCAUUUUCAAUAAUACCGAAGGCUAACACCUACGGAUUUUUGACCAAGAAAUGGUCUCCACCAGAAAUCCAAGAAUGUGAUCUAUGGCAAGGAAACAUAUGUGGGGUGAGGUGUAUGAGCCUCUGGUCGAUGAUCAAUGGCCACACAACCCCCAUUUUUGUCGAAAAUAGCCAUGAACGACCAUUUUCAAUAAUACGAAGGCUAACACCUACGGAUUUUUGACCAAGAAAUGGUCUCCACCAGAAAUCCAAGAAUGUGAUCUAUGGCAAGGAAACAUAUGUGGGGUGAGGUGUAUGAGCCUCUGGUCGAUGAUCAAUGGCCACACAACCCCCAUUUUUGCGAAAAUAGCCAUGAAGACCAUUUUCAAUAAUACCGAAGGCUAACACUACGGAUUUUUACCAAGAAAUGGUCUCCACCAGAAAUCCAAGAAUGUGAUCUAUGGCAAGGAAACAUAUGUGGGGUGAGGUGUAUGAGCCUCUGGUCGAUGAUCAAUGGCCACACAACCCCCAUUUUUUGAAAAUAGCCAUGAACUGACCAUUUUCAAUAAUACAAGGCUAACACCUACGGAUUUUUGACCAAGAAAUGGUCUCCACCAGAAAUCCAAGAAUGUGAUCUAUGGCAAGGAAACAUAUGUGGGGUGAGGUGUAUGAGCCUCUGGUCGAUGAUCAAUGGCCACACAACCCCCAUUUUUCCGAAAAUAGCCAUGAACGACCAUUUUCAAUAAUACCGAAGGCUAACACCUACGGAUUUUUGACCAAGAAAUGGUCUCCACCAGAAAUCCAAGAAUGUGAUCUAUGGCAAGGAAACAUAUGUGGGGUGAGGUGUAUGAGCCUCUGGUCGAUGAUCAAUGGCCACACAACCCCCAUUUUUGUCGAAAAUAGCCAUGAACGACCAUUUUCAAUAAUCGAAGGCUAACACCUACGGAUUUUUGACCAAGAAAUGGUCUCCACCAGAAAUCCAAGAAUGUGAUCUAUGGCAAGGAAACAUAUGUGGGGUGAGGUGUAUGAGCCUCUGGUCGAUGAUCAAUGGCCACACAACCCCAUUUUUGUCGAAAAUAGCCAUGAAUGACCAUUUUCAAUAAUACCAAGGCUAACACUACGGAUUUUUGACCAAGAAAUGGUCUCCACCAGAAAUCCAAGAAUGUGAUCUAUGGCAAGGAAACAUAUGUGGGGUGAGGUGUAUGAGCCUCUGGUCGAUGAUCAAUGGCCACACAACCCCCAUUUUUGCGAAAAUAGCCAUGAACGACCAUUUUCAAUAAUACCGAAGGCUAACACCUACGGAUUUUUAACCAAGAAAUGGUCUCCACCAGAAAUCCAAGAAUGUGAUCUAUGGCAAGGAAACAUAUGUGGGGUGAGGUGUAUGAGCCUCUGGUCGAUGAUCAAUGGCCACACAACCCCCAUUUUUG